AGAAGAAUAGCUCUCAACAAUGUCAUAUGAUUUAUCCGCUGCCCGGAUAUAUAAUUUGUAAUCCCUUUGGCUGGUUGACGGAGUGAAAGGCGGGAAGUUACCACGAAGGUGGUAGCUUAGAGAAAUUAGACAAAUAAAGGAUCUUUAUCCGGCUGAAGAGUCACCAGAAAAGGUGUUCUGCACCCCUAAAAAGUAGGAGAGAAAAGAGUUUUCGGAACGUGCCUGGGAGGAUUUU
rnacentral:misc_RNA from 1 species